CAGUAGCCACGGGAAUACGAAGGGGGCUAGCGUUGUUCGGAAUUACUUGGCGUAAAGCGCACGUAGGCGGAUUUGUUAGUCAGGGGUGAAAUCCCGGGGCUCAACCUCGGAACUGCCUUUGAUACUGCAAGUCUCGAGUCCGGAAGAGGUGAGUGGAAUUCCUAGUGUAGGGGAGAAAUUCGUAGAUAUUAGGAAGGACACCAGUGGCGAAGGCGGCUCACUGGUCCGGUACUGACGCUGAGGUGCGAAAGCGUGGGGAGCAAACAGGAUUAGAUACCCCCGUAGUCCCUGUCUCUUAUAC
rnacentral:rRNA from 1 species